GAUGACGUCGCCAAGUGGUUUAAGGCAGCAGACUGCAACUCUGCCACCGUGAGUCCGAAUCUCACCGUCAUCU
rnacentral:tRNA from 2 species